rnacentral:rRNA from 2 species
CAGAGAUGGAUUGGUGCCUUCGGGAACUGUGAGACAGGUGCUGCAUGGCUGUCGUCAGCUCGUGUUGUGAAAUGUUGGGUUAAGUCCCGCAACGAGCGCAACCCUUAUCCUUUGUUGCCAGCGGUCCGGCCGGGAACUCAAAGGAGACUGCCAGUGAUAAACUGGAGGAAGGUGGGGAUGACGUCAAGUCAUCAUGGCCCUUACGACCAGGGCUACACACGUGCUACAAUGGCAUAUACAAAGAGAAGCGACCUCGCGAGAGCAAGCGGACCUCAUAAAGUAUGUCGUAGUCCGGAUUGGAGUCUGCAACUCGACUCCAUGAAGUCGGAAUCGCUAGUAAUCGUAGAUCAGAAUGCUACGGUGAAUACGUUCCCGGGCCUUGUACACACCGCCCGUCACACCAUGGGAGUGGGUUGCAAAAGAAGUAGGUAGCUUAACCUUCGGGAGGGCGCUUACCACUUUGUGAUUCAUGACUGGGGUGAAGUCGUAACAAGGUAACCGUAGGGGAACCUGCGGUUGGAUCACCUCCUUA